rnacentral:misc_RNA from 1 species
GUGGUUGGAGCCCGAUCGUUACACAGGCAUUGCCCAAUAUUAUUAAAAGAUAUAUACAGCUCAUAUGAGAAUGGUAUAGAAAGUUACCAACGACAAAAGAUGGGAAUGCCUUUGAGAAAUACAAACUGGCAAGGAGAGAAGCUAAGUAAGCAAUUAGCGAAGUUUAUGGUAAAUCUCUAGCCAAUACGUACUAAAAGUUGGGGAUACAGGAGAAGGAGAAGCAGACUAAAGGAAAAUAGGGAUAGAGAUCUAAAUGAAGUCAAGUAUAUUAAAGAUAAUAAUGACAAACUUUAUUGGGAGAUCAAAGAGAGAUGGCGAAAUUAAUUUCAUCAACUAUUCAAUGCAAGUUAGGAGAAUAACUUUGCAAAUCUUAAUGUUCCUUUUACUAGAAAAGAACCUUAACUACACUCAUAGA